rnacentral:rRNA from 1 species
CCUACGGGAGGCAGCAGUGGGGAAUAUUGCACAAUGGGGGAAACCCUGAUGCAGCGACGCCGCGUGAAGGAAGAAGUAUUUCGGUAUGUAAACUUCUAUCAGCAGGGAAGAAAAUGACGGUACCUGACUAAGAAGCCCCAGCUAACUACGUGCCAGCAGCCGCGGUAAUACGUAGGGGGCAAGCGUUAUUCGGAUUUAUUGGGGUGAAAGGGGGCGUAGGCGGUUUAGCAAGUCAGAAGGUAAAGCCCGGGGGUCAACGCCGGGAGUGCUUUUGAAACUGUUGAACUAGAGUGCAGGAGAGGUAAGUGGAAGUCCUGGUGUAGCGGUGAAAUGCGUAGAUAUUAGGAGGAACACCAGUGGCGAAGGCGGCUUACUGGACUGUAAAUGACGCUGAGGCUCGAAAGCGUGGGGAGCAAACAGGAUUAGAUACCCUGGUAGUC